rnacentral:ncRNA from 1 species
AAGGUUUGGUCCCAGCCUUGAAGUCAGUUUUUACUUAAUAUACACAUGCAAGUCUCCGCACCCCUGUGAAAACGCCCUCAUUUCCCUAAUAGGGAACAGGAGCCGGUAUCAGGCUCAACUUUUUGCCCAUUACACCUAGCCUCGCCACACCCAUAAGGGAUAUCAGCAGUGAUAAACAUUGAAUAUAAGCGACAGCUUGAUUCAGUUAAAUUAAAUAGAGCCGGCCAAUAUGGUGCCAGCCGCCGCGGUUACACCACUAUGACUCAAAUUGACUUCCAUCGGCGUAAAGCGUGAUUAAAGCUUACAGAUUAUUGGAGUUAAAUUAGAACUAAGCUGUAACACGCUUGUUCUUAAGAAAAUCUAAAGUGAAAGCUACUCCAACCCACCCAACUUGAACUCACGAUAACUGAGUAACAAACUGGGAUUAGAUACCCCACUAUGCUCAGUCCUAAACUUUAACUUACACCUUCAUCGCCUGGGAACUACGAGCUAAGCUUAAAACCCAAAGGACUUGACGGUACCCCAUAUCCCCCUAGAGGAGCCUGUCCUAUAAUCGAUAAUCCCCGUUUAACCUCACCAUUUUUUGCCUAAUCAAUCUGUAUACCUCCGUCGUCAGCUUACCACGUGAGCGUUAGUGAGCUUAAUGUUUAUUCAACAAUACGUCAGGUCAAGGUGCAACAUAUAAAAUGGAAAGAGAUGGGCUACACUUUCUAUCUUAGAACAAACGAAAGACUAAAUGAAACCUAGUCAGAAGGCGGAUUUAGCAGUAAAAUGAAACUAGAGCGUCCAUUUAAACCUGGCACUGGGGUGUGUACACACCGCCCGUCACCCUCCUCAAUUCUAUAAAAUAGUCCUUAACACCUUUUUAAGAACCCAGAAGAGGCAAGUCGUAACAUGGUAAGUAUACCGGAAGGUGUGCUUGGAAU